GUCCCUCCCGCCGGGGGGAGCCCCCCGUCACUUCCGCCCGCUCGGUCCGGCAUCUCCAAUAUGGCGGCGUCCUGCGGCUCCUCGCAGCUCCCGGCCGCCGAGCCGCCGCUGAAGAUCCCCAAGAUGGAGGUGCUGUCGCCGGGCUCGCCGGGAGCGCUGAGCGACGGCAACCCCAGCCUCUCCGACCCUUCCACCCCCAGCGGCGCCUCGCCCCUCGGCCCGGGGCCGGGGCCGGCGGCCGGCGGGGCCGGGCUGGGGGGCGGCGGCGGCGGCGGGGCGGGGGGCCGCGGCGGGGCCUCGCCCUCCGUCUCCUUCUCGCCGGGCGGCGCCGCCGCCGCCGCCGCCGCCGCCGCUUGCCGGGGGAUGUCCUGGACGCCGGCGGAGACCAACGCGCUGAUCGCCGUCUGGGGCAACGAGCGGCUGGUGGAGGCGCGGUACCAGCAGCUGGAGGGCGCCGGUACCGUCUUCGGCAGCAAGGCCCCCGGGCCCGCCAUGUACGAGCGCGUCUCCCGCGCCCUGGCCGAGCUGGGCUACGAGCGCACCCCCUCCCAGUGCCGGGAGCGCAUCAAGAUAAGAACUCGAUAUUGGCCUUCUUCGGGACACCUGCCUUCCCUGGACUCUGCCAAAUCUUGAAGAGCGAGUUAGAAAUGAGCUGGAAAGGAAAAAGUCAACUACGAAGAAGAAAGUUUUCCAGUUGUAUCGCAUAGAUGCAUUCUCUCCUAAUUCAAACAGGAUGCAAACCAGAGAGCAGGAGGUUAGCUGUUAAAUCGAGCCGCUUUUAACUGCAGAAAAAUGAGCCGUCGCCUCGUACUGUGAAGUUGCCGUCUGAAGGGCAAAAGCCAACGUACCCAGUAUAUGUUCUUUGAGGUCGCUUUCUGUUGGGUAAUACACUGGGACGUCAUUGUUUCAUCCUCUUUCAGCCUUUGCGCGUGGCUGCAAUGGCAGGGGGAUACUCUGGGAAAGUGCAGGUGAGCUCAGGUUUUACGGUUGCCGCUGACCAGUGCAGAGCCAUGUGAGUCAAGGUAAUUUUCAGGCAAUAAAGUCUUGUUUUAUUUUAAAGGAGUGUUCUUGAAAUAAUGUGCUCCAGCCGGAUCUUAUGCAUUGAUUUUUAAAUCCAUGGAAGAAUUUCCGCUUCUGUUGCACGCAUGUUUCUUCAUGGAAGGUGAAAUCAAAGACUUGCUCUUCUGACAGCGCUUUGCUUAGCUGAGCUGCGAGAGUGUUUCAGUGCUAGAAAUUCACUGGCUGCAGUUGCAGCUAGCGAGCCUUUCGCGAGCAGAGAGAAAUCCCUCCUUAAAUGUUGCCAUUCAGCGUCGGGAGACUGUUAAAAUGAAUUCAGGGGCAUUUUUAACAUGUCGUUUCUUCAGCUACUGCAGAAAUGCGGGUUCUGCUUUUAUUUUGCGAGCGAGCUGUUGAAAUCUGUUUGCUGCUCCCCAGAGUCCGUGCCAAGCCAUUUAUUCAAAGAGGAGCAGCUCCAACAUCUAACUCCCGGCUGCAGGAAUUCACGAGUCCCACUGCCGUGGUGUUGGGUUUUGUGUACGUAGCGACCUCACUCUCGCCCCAGAUGGGUGACUGGAGGUUUCUGCUGGGUUGUGGUUGUCCGCUAAGCAUGUAAUUUAUUUUUCAAAGGAAAAAAUAAAUACUUUGAAGACACUGGUUAAACACUUACAGAGAGCGUAGGUACAAAGGGGAGAAGCAAAUGCCGUGAACCCACAUCAAACGGGAAGGAAUGAAAAAUUACACCUGAAUAUCUGCUGUUGGUGUUCUCCUGCUUUAAGCUAUAUGUAAAGCAAUGGCAGCAGUGGCUUAUUUGUAAUGGGGCUGUGGUUUUACCUGCUUUACGAUGUAAACAGUCUGUUUUUAAAUCUUGUGUGAAGUUGUUUUUAAGGAAGGAAAAGCUGCGCUAGCUAGAAGCAGUGCUUGCCGUAAUCAGGUUUGACCUCCUGUGUGAUACGGGAGAUUGGAUUUCACCCAGAAUUUCAUCGCUGGGUCCAAUAACGUUAAGCAGAGUGGCUGUCUUUUAAUUUGAACAUCUCAAAUGAUGGAGCAUUGGUACAUUUUGUAGCAACGAGCCAACUACCCACCUUCAAAACGGCUUUGCCUUCUAUUUCUUUUGAAAGCAUUUUAUCUUUGUCUUGCAUUUGUUAUCUCAGGCCCAGAUCCUCAUCUGGGCAGCUCCACCAGCUGUGAUGUGUGCAGGCAGUGUUCAAGUUACCUCCAGAUCUUUCUUUGGCUUAAAUAGAUUCAGAUACACCGGGUUUUCCAGGCUGGCUCAUUUCUUGUCAUUCCUUGAAUCCUCUCCAGCAGCCUAACAUCUCGCUGGAGGAUCUUACAGGCCCGGGUGGGUGGGAGCAACUUUCUGUUGACGUUUAUAAGCCGGGAAAAAUAAACUCUUCAGUGACAAAGAGCAGAUUUAUUUGUUUUACUCCUUCUUGGAUGUAUUGUGGGGCAGCAGCAGAGGAGCAUCUCUGGGAGGUGAGUAUCAUGUGGAGCGAACCCUCUUGCAGAGCAGCUGCACCCACUUUCUUCAGCCAGGGUAUUUGCAGGGCGGUGUCGUGCCAGUAGGCAUCUGUCUCACUUUGUACGUGCAGGAUGAGUGUCUUUGCUGUCCAGUGGCUUCUGGAGCUGUGUUGUGUGUCUAUAAUACUCUGGUCCGGUCAUUCUGGUGUACCUGGGUCAUCCACCGCUUACUGCAUGGGUGCAAAAUGAUUCGCAGGGGGACCUGGGACCGAACUGGCAGGUUAUGCUGGUGAGACAGAAACAGUUGAUGGCUAGGAACUCAUUGCAGAAGGACAAACCUGCUACACUUGAACAUUAAAUCUUAGUUUGGGAGCGCACAGUUUUUCCUUGUCGUGCUCCUUGACUAUGGAGGAUUUGGGAAGGUGUUAAAACCCCUCCUUCUGAUUUUUGUCACUUGCUCUUAGCCAGCACACGCAGGCAGUUGGAAAUUUUGGGUGUCCCGUUAUUGCAGAGGCUGUGCUUUGAUGUCAGGAAAGGGUGCCACCAGCAAUGAUGCAGGAGGUGUUGGAUGGUUGAUCGAGGAUUUUAUUUACUUCAGAAGUGACUGGAUGCACCUGAAAUGCUCAGCAGAAUGAAGGUGGUAUGAGAGCAUACAGCUUUGAGCGCCAGUGUGGGGGCAGAUUCGCUUUCGUUACUCUUCCAGGUUACGCUCCAUCCUACUAAGUGCGUAAAUUUGGGGGCCAAGUAGAUGAUGCUCUGUGGAGUGCUGUGGUCUCACCAGUUACCAGCCCUUGACCACUGGUCCUGGUGAAAAUUGGAGUUCAAGCCACCUUUGGUAUUUCAC